AUGAGGACUCAACGCGCUUUUAUUAUAUGGACUGCGAUGCUUCUUCGUUUGUCUAUCAUAAAAGGUCAGACCACAGACUCAUCCCCAGACGUGAGGUCCACUCUGAAUGAAGUCACUCCAAAAAAUCCCAUGACUUCAGCAAGUGACAUUUUGGAAUCACGAGCCACUACAGCCUAUCAAAGCGUCUCCUCUGCUUCAGCGGAUUUCACAACGGAGGUCACACCUACUGUUCCUCCUCCAUCAAAGUCAUCCAAAGACGCUGUAGUGCACAAUGGCACCUCUCCUUCACCAGCCAUCUCACAGACCCCUGCGCUACAAGAAGUCACCACCCUCAACACGGACACAGCCUCGGGACCAGGUUCUUCUAAUAGCAGCACGUCAGUUUCUUAUUUGAAGAGCACCGUUUCAUAUUCAGUAGCCUCCACAGCUCCCGCAACAUCCUUCAGUCCAAGUGAAGGACCUCAGACAGUCUCUACUCCAGCCAGCAGCGUGAUCCAGACAACACAAACAGCUCCACCAUUCACCCCCACUUCCCCUCAGACAUCUCAGGUCAUCCUGACCAGCAGUUCAAAGGUCACUGGACCAGCUAAUUUGGAAGACCAGGAUGAACCUUCUGAACUGGAUGUGGGGGAUCAAGAGUCAGGGAAGGAUCCCCACCGCCCUGCAUCACCUCUGGACCCCCUGCUCGCCGCUCUGGUCACCAUUUUCAUUAUUUGCACUGCCAUGGUCUCAGCCGUCCUCUUCCUCAGGUUCCGUCACCGUAGUGAGCAUCCAGAAUUCCACCGGCUUCAAGACCUCCCUAUGGAUGAUCUCCUUGAAGACACGCCAUUGUCAAGAUACACGUAUUAGCAAGAGGGAAUUCCACUAUUUCAUCAUCUGAUUCCUCAGGCAACCAGUGUUGUUAUUGGUGCAGAUCCCCUGAAAGAUGUCUUUCACAACUCAUCUCUGAUUCUGGGUUUUUCUGGGCUUUGAUGCUAAAAUGUUGUUGUGUAAUUUUGGAAUAAAACAUUUAGUUAUUUUACUAUAUUAUGAAAC
ensembl:lncRNA